rnacentral:rRNA from 1 species
AUGGAUGGCCUCUUGCAUUGGAACUUUAGGCCUGGCCUUGCGGUUGCAGAUCAAGUACGUCGAAGAUUUGGAUAAACGGUUCAUUUCUCUCCGUCACCCAGCACCAAGGAAUAUUUCUUGGUGGUUUCUUUCUCUUUGGCUUAAUUUCCCCUCUCUGAGGAAUCUGUGGGUGUGGCUUUCCAAUGUUGCAUUGGGGGUCAUCCACAAGGGUUCAAGGUUUCCUAG